GCUACCAUGCAGUCGAGCGGAACGAGUUUCAGAACCUUCGGGGGACGAUAACGGCGUCGAGCGGCGGACGGGUGAGUAAUGCCUAGGAAAUUGCCCUGAUGUGGGGGAUAACCAUUGGAAACGAUGGCUAAUACCGCAUGAUGCCUACGGGCCAAAGAGGGGGACCUUCGGGCCUCUCGCGUCAGGAUAUGCCUAGGUGGGAUUAGCUAGUUGGUGAGGUAAGGGCUCACCAAGGCAACGAUCCCUAGCUGGUCUGAGAGGAUGAUCAGCCACACUGGAACUGAGACACGGUCCAGACUCCUACGGGAGGCAGCAGUGGGGAAUAUUGCACAAUGGGCGCAAGCCUGAUGCAGCCAUGCCGCGUGUGUGAAGAAGGCCUUCGGGUUGUAAAGCACUUUCAGUCGUGAGGAAGGCGGUGUAGUUAAUAGCUGCAUCGUUUGACGUUAGCGACAGAAGAAGCACCGGCUAACUCCGUGCCAGCAGCCGCGGUAAUACGGAGGGUGCGGAGCGUUAAUCGGAAUUACUGGGGCGUAAAGCGCAUGCAGUGGUUUUGUUAAGUCAGAUGUGAAAGCCGGGGCUCAACCCUCGGGAAUUGCAUUUGAAACUGGGCAGACUAAAAGUACUGGUAGAAGGGGGGGGUAAGAAUUUCAGGUGUAACCGGUGAAAAUGGCGUUAAAGAUCUUGAAAGAAUUACCCGGUGGCCAAGGGCGG
rnacentral:rRNA from 1 species